rnacentral:rRNA from 1 species
CUACGUGCCAGCAGCCGCGGUAAUACGUAGGGUGCGAGCGUUAAUCGGAAUUACUGGGCGUAAAGCGGGCGCAGACGGUUACUUAAGCAGGAUGUGAAAUCCCCGGGCUCAACCUGGGAAUUGCGUUCUGAACUGGGUGGCUAGAGUGUGUCAGAGGGGGGUAGAAUUCCACGUGUAGCAGUGAAAUGCGUAGAGAUGUGGAGGAAUACCGAUGGCGAAGGCAGCCCCCUGGGAUGGCACUGACGUUCAUGCCCGAAAGCGUGGGUAGCAAACAGGAUUAGAUACCCUGGUAGUCCACGCCCUAAACGAUGUCAAUUAGCUGUUGGGCAACUUGAUUGCUUAGUAGCGUAGCUAACGCGUGAAAUUGACCGCCUGGGGAGUACGGUCGCAAGAUUAAAACUCAAAGGAAUUGACGGGGACCCGCACAAGCGGUGGAUGAUGUGGAUUAAUUCGAUGCAACGCGAAGAACCUUACCUGGUCUUGACAU